ACUGUUACGUAACAGUAGAGCAUUUCCAGAUGCUAUCAGUGCUACUGACAGACUUUUAAUUGGACUCAUUUGACUUGCACUGCAUAACCUCAGAUAUCAGAUGUUGAAGAACAUGAAGGAGUCUGCUAAAGAAUGGAAUAUUUCUUUUGCCGGCUGUGGAUUUCUGAUGGCGUACUACUGUGGAGUUUAUAGCUGUUUAUUUGAACGUGCACGGUUUCUACUUGAGGGGGUGACAAAGAUUUGUGGGGCUUCAUCUGGUGCCCUCAUGGGUGUAAUAUUAGCAUGUCAAAUGUCUCCAAAUUGGUGGUCAUAAAGGAAGUUCCUUUUUGAAGCCAAAUGCUGUGAAAAUUUGCUGGAAAUGUCCCAAGAGGCUCGAAAAGGCACUCUGGGUGCCGUACAUCCCUCCUUCAACUUGUUGAAGAUAGUACAAAACUUCCUGACCCGAGAUCUGCCUGACAACGCCCACAUACUCGCCACCGGACGACUGUGUGUGUCCCUCACACGUGUGUCAGAUGGAACAAAUGUGUUGGUGUCCGAGUUUGACAGCAAAGAAGAUCUCAUUCAGGCGCUGGUUUGUAGCUGUUUUUAUCCACUGUACUGUGGCGUGAUACCUCCAAGCUAUCAUGGAAUUAGGUAUGUAGAUGGAGCAUUAAGUGAUAACAUGCCUUACUCUAGUCUGAGAAACACAAUCACCAUCUCCCCUUUUUCUGGGGAGAGUGACAUCAGUCCUUAUGGCAACCCCUUUUACUUCCAUGAAAUACAUUACAAUAACGUCAGCAUUCACAUCAACUUCAUAAACGCAUAUCGAGUGGUCAUUGCGUUUUUACCUCCAAAACCAGAAGUUUUGGCUGACAUGUGUCAAAAUGGCUAUAAGGAUGCUUUCAUAUUUUUAAAAGAAAAUGAACUUCUGAAGGUCCAGUCACCGCUAUCUGAGUUGACCUUGACUAAUGACUGGGAUCAUUUUCCAUCAUCUUGGAGAAAUGUUACAGAACACAAGCCAACAAAAGAUGAAGAUUAUUAUAUUACAAGUUGGUCAAAAGUGAACAAACAUUCUAAAAACAUCCUUCCAGAGUCCAUCAAAAAAGUGUUUUGUAAGGCCAGGAUGAGGGAAAAUGAAGAAAUGAGAUGCACUCUCUCAGGAAAGCUGAGUUGCUUUGUAAUGUGGUGCAUUCUGCCAGUGGAGAUGGCUUACCACAUGCUGCUUAGGCUUGCUGAAUGGUCUCCAGAGAUGUGGUCUGAUCUGAGGUGGAUGUGCCAGAUGACCAGUGAAGUUAUUAGAUGGGUGUGGAAGAAAGCUUUCUCAAGAAGUCAUUUACAAGCACACAAGUCUCCAGUUCUUCAUCACAAUGGCUUUUCAUCUUCUGAUUCAACUGACUGACCACAACAACCCCAUCGGACUAGUCCUUCUCUUCCGAUAUGCUGCAUCAUUAACUUUUUUAGCUAGAAGUAAUGCACAAGCUUCAGCUGUGAAAAUUGAACUUUGUCCAGGGAUACACUUGCCAAAACAUUUUGGACCAAUCACUACUGCUGCAGAUACAUGACUGUCUGACUUUGAUCCUUCUGUGUACACUGGUACAUGGGAUGGUAAGUUGCAUCUUAUGUCCAGAAAUUUCUCCUGAUAAGACAUUUGGAUGAUUUAUCUUUUUUUUUUUUUUAUACUGAGCCAGGUUCAUCAUGAUAGUUGGUUUUUAAUAUUCCAGGGCGGUAUAGGGCACAGAUGUGUCGAUGUUAGGAUUGUUUUACAGUGGGAAAGAACAAUCAAGAAGAGAACCGCAUUAUUGCCACAGCAUAUGUAUGUUACUAACAACAACACAUUGUAGCUCACACUAAGUAUUAAAUAAUACAGCUAAAUGUUUCUUCUUAAAGAUGUGUGCAAACUUUAUUUAUGCAAAUGCUACUCUGUACAAAUAAAGACAUAAAAGAUGUUACUCUGUCUGGCCUAUGUAUUUGUUAACUUGAAUUAAUUGAAAUCAAAACAAUAUUUUAAUAUUUCUAUACUGAAAUAUCACUUUUGCAUGUUUCUCAGGUCAAAUGCCUUCCAUGGGAUCCUCAAUUGUAAAUGUGCUGUAAACUGUUUUAUUAUGUAUAGAUUUAGCUUUGCUGUACACUGUUAGCUAUCUUAAUUGACCGAGUUGUAGGUCUAAACAAUGGAAGUGAAUGGUGACUAAAACUUUGAAGCUCCAAAUAGCAGAUAAAUGCAUCAUAAAAGUAAUCCAUACGACUCCAGUUGUUUAAUCAGUGUCUUCUGAAACGAUCCAGUCGUUUAUUUUUGAUCAUGAUCAAGCUUGAUUACAAUUCUUAGCGCCAUCUAGCUCUGUGCAUGCAUCAAGUGCUAGGAAGUGUAAUCAAGCUUGAAAUCAUGAUCGAGCCUAGAGACUGCAAUGACAAGAUGUACAGUAAAAAUGGAGUUACAUUUUGGUCUGUUCUCACCUAAAACCGAUUACAUCUCUUCAGAAGACACUGAUUAAACCACUGUAGUCUUAUGGAUUACUUUUA